AGGCGUGUAGCUCAGCGGCAAGAGCAACGGUCUCCAAAACCGUGUGUCGCGGGUUCGAGUCCCGCCGCGCCUG
rnacentral:tRNA from 1 species